CCUACGGGGUGCUGCAGUGGGGAAUAUUGGACAAUGGGCGAAAGCCUGAUCCAGCCAUGCCGCGUGUGUGAAGAAGGCCUUCAGGUUGUAAAGCACUUUCAGUGGGGAAGAAAGCCUUGGGGCUAAUACCCUCGAGGAAGGACAUCACCCACAGAAGAAGCACCGGCUAACUCCGUGCCAGCAGCCGCGGUAAUACGGAGGGUGCGAGCGUUAAUCGGAAUUACUGGGCGUAAAGCGCGCGUAGGCGGUCUGAUAAGCCGGUUGUGAAAGCCCCGGGCUCAACCUGGGAACGGCAUCCGGAACUGUCAGGCUAGAGUGCAGGAGAGGAAGGUAGAAUUCCCGGUGUAGCGGUGAAAUGCGUAGAGAUCGGGAGGAAUACCAGUGGCGAAGGCGGCCUUCUGGACUGACACUGACGCUGAGGUGCGAAAGCGUGGGUAGCAAACAGGAUUAGAUACCCCAGUAGUC
rnacentral:rRNA from 1 species